rnacentral:rRNA from 1 species
UUCUACCUACGGGAGGCAGCAGUGGGGAAUAUUGCGCAAUGGGCGAAAGCCUGACGCAGCGACGCCGCGUGAGGGAUGAAGGUCUUCGGAUCGUAAACCUCUGUCAGCAGGGAAGAACGGUCACUGUGCUAAUCAGCAGUGAAUUGACGGUACCUGCAAAGGAGGCACCGGCUAACUCCGUGCCAGCAGCCGCGGUAAUACGGAGGGUGCGAGCGUUAAUCGGAAUUACUGGGCGUAAAGCGCUCGUAAGCGGUAUGUCAAGUCAAGGGUGAAAUCCCCGCGCGCAACGUGGGAACUG